AGGGCACCGCCAGGAGUGGAGCCUGCGGCUUAAUUUGACCCAACACGGGAAAACUCACCCGGCCCGGACACCGUAAGGAUUGACAGAUUGAGAGCUCUUUCUUGAUUCGGUGGUUGGUGGUGCAUGGCCGUUCUUAGUUGGUGGAGCGAUUUGUCUGGUUUAUUCCGAUAACGAACGAGACUCUGGCCUACUAAAUAGAGACAGGAUUAUUACUGUCCUGGAUUCUUCUUAGAGGGACAAGUGGUUUUCAGCCACACGAAAUUGAGCAAUAACAGGUCUGUGAUGCCCUUAGAUGUCCGGGGCUGCACGCGCGCUACACUGAAGGAAUCAGCGUGCUAAAACCAUUGUCGAAAGGCAUUGGUAAACCCCUCAAAAUCCUACGUGAUUGGGAUAAGGGCUAAUUCUCAGCCCCCUAAUUCAAUUAACUCCCAAGUGAGUCGGAUUAUAAUUCACUGGCCGUCACUUUCCUGCCUUUUGACUGCGAAAACCCUGGCGUUACGGGACUGAGCCGUUUUGAAA
rnacentral:rRNA from 1 species